rnacentral:lncRNA from 1 species
ACAGGAGGCUUCAUAUUUGCAUUUUUAAAGCUUUGAAUUGACCAAUGUGAAGGAAGCAUGAGAUGUUUGCCGAAAAUAGAACGUUCUAAACGUACUCUCUCGCGCUCAGUCCGCGCAGCGUAUAAUGUCGGCUAGGGAAGCGUCGGCCGAAAAGGUUUGUGAGGUCGCCGCACCCCUGACCGAGUGGGCUCCGAAACAAGGUUCGACGCUAAAGACAAAACCAGCGGACCCAUCUGGCCAGUGUUGCGGUAGACACCGGUCCAUGAGGGUUCACGUAAGAAGUCAGAAGGUGAUCCGUCGAAUGAGUUUGAAGGGGGUAGAGAUAUUGGUGUACCCCAUUAGCGUUCUGACCACGCAUAGUGAGGCGUCUGACACAAAGCAUGGGUAUGACUCUGAAGACGAAACAGACUUAGUUCAUCUCGACAUGGUAAAGGUAACCCCGUCUGGUGUGAGAGAGAAACCAUCCAUAUCGCAAGCCCUAACGUCCGCCACCGUCUAAAUGAGGCGAGGCAUAAUAAGAGGGCUAGUUUGGCUGAAAGUUGCUUCAGUGACAAACAAGGAUUGUCCGGCCAUUCCCUAAGGAAUCUCAGCACCACAUCCACCUGCCAGAGGCGUGAAUAUUUGGGUGCAGGGAUCUCGACAAUUCGAC